rnacentral:rRNA from 1 species
AUUUGACCUCAAAUCAGGUAGGAUUACCCGCUGAACUUAAGCAUAU